CCUACGGGAGACAGCAGUGGGGAAUAUUGCACAAUGGGGGAAACCCUGAUGCAGCGACGCCGCGUGAGUGAAGAAGUAUUUCGGUAUGUAAAGCUCUAUCAGCAGGGAAGAAAUAGCGACCUUUGGGUCGCCAGACGGUACCUGAUUAAGAAGCCCCGGCUAACUACGUGCAAGCAGCCGCGGUAAUACGUAGUGGGCAAGCGUUAUCCGGAUUUACUGGGUGUAAAGGGAGCGUAGACGGCAGCGCAAGUCUGAAGUGAAAUGCCGGGGCUUAACCCCGGAACUGCUUUGGAAACUGUGCAGCUAGAGUGCAGGAGAGGUAAGUGGAAUUCCUAGUGUAGCGGUGAAAUGCGUAGAUAUUAGGAGGAACACCAGUGGCGAAGGCGGCUUACUGGACUGUAACUGACAUUGAGGCUCGAAAGCGUGGGGAGCAAACAGGAUUAGAUACCCCAGUAGUC
rnacentral:rRNA from 1 species